CUUCGGGGUACUCGAGCGGCGAACGGGUGAGUAACACGUGAGCAACCUGCCCCAGGCUUUGGGAUAACCCCGGGAAACCGGGGCUAAUACCGAAUAUGACCUCCGAUCGCAUGGUUGGUGGUGGAAAGUUUUUCGGCUUGGGAUGGGCUCGCGGCCUAUCAGCUUGUUGGUGGGGUGAUGGCCUACCAAGGCGACGACGGGUAGCCGGCCUGAGAGGGCGACCGGCCACACUGGGACUGAGACACGGCCCAGACUCCUACGGGAGGCAGCAGUGGGGAAUAUUGCACAAUGGGCGGAAGCCUGAUGCAGCGACGCCGCGUGAGGGAUGACGGCCUUCGGGUUGUAAACCUCUUUCAGCAGGGACGAAGCGUAAGUGACGGUACCUGCAGAAGAAGCGCCGGCCAACUACGUGCCAGCAGCCGCGGUAAGACGUAGGGCGCGAGCGUUGUCCGGAUUUAUUGGGCGUAAAGAGCUCGUAGGCGGCUUGUCGCGUCGACCGUGAAAACCUGGGGCUCAACCCCAGGCCUGCGGUCGAUACGGGCAGGCUAGAGUUCGGUAGGGGAGACUGGAAUUCCUGGUGUAGCGGUGAAAUGCGCAGAUA
rnacentral:rRNA from 1 species